AGUUCGGAUUGGAGUCUGCAACUCGACUCCAUGAAGCUGGAUUCGCUAGUAAUCGCGAAUCAGAAUGUCGCGGUGAAUACGUUCCCGGGCCUUGUACACACCGCCCGUCAAGCCACGGAAGCCGGGGGUGCCUGAAGUGCGCUGCCGCAAGGAGCGCCCUAGGGUAAAACCGGUGACUGGGGCUAAGUCGUAACAAGGUACC
rnacentral:rRNA from 1 species